GGGGAUUUAGCUCAGUGGGAUAAGCACCUACCUUGGAAGCAGGCGGUCAUGAGUUCAAUCCCCG
rnacentral:tRNA from 1 species